rnacentral:lncRNA from 1 species
AGAAGGAUAACAUGACAUAGCAGGAAUAAUACUGCCUUUUCUUUCUGGCAUGGAUCAAGAGAAAAGAAAAUACAAGAAAACAGACAGAAGAUCCUAUCUGCGACAAUUAAGAGCACUCUAAGAGGAAAACACAUCCCACCACACAAGGCAAGGUACUUCUAUGGAAGGGUGAGCCCUCACAGAUGGAGCAAUGGGGCGCGCACACCUGAACAAGGGAGGGGAAGGAGUUCUUAUCCCUGAUGCAUGUGACCCCUGCUGCUGUGUCCUUCCCCUAUUGGCUAAGGCUUCUGACAGCUUUGGAGAUUGUGACAUUGGAAUAAAGGAAAAACGUACAGGACUCAUGAAGCGCUGAAAUGUUCACAAAUAUCAAGCAAAAGUCAAUGAAAUUUAUUUUGAGCUAUUUACAUCAUUUAAUAAUUGAGCAAGGUAUACUCCUAUGAACAAAAUUUGGAGCAUGUUUGUCUCUCUCUGCCUGGCGUCUUCAGAAUUUGGAAACUAGUUGUCAGGAGUUAACUUUUAUGUGACAAGCUUUACUAGGUCAGGAGCCUAUCGCUGUUUAUAUUCUCUGCAAAGUUUUAAUUGUGAAAAAGGAUUUGAGAUGGUUUAUAAUCAGCUAUAGAAUUUUAACACGUGCUCUCAAAUGCAAGUUUCUGAUAACUUUGGAGAUUGUGACAUUGGAAUAAAGGAAGAGCUGGAAUGUUCAUGAAUAUCAAGCAAAAGUCAUGGAAAUUUAUUUUGAGCUAUUUACAGCAUUUAAUAAUUGAGCAAGGUAUACUCCUAUGAACAAAAUUUGGAGCAUGUUUGUCUCUCUCUGUCUGCCUGGCAUCUACAGAAUUUGGAAACUAGUUUCGUUCCCAGAUUUCCUAAACUUUCCAGAGAAAAUGGUCUUCUCCCUGGCUCAGCAAGAAGAUGAACUUUAAACACUGAGAAACUGGUCAUCUCCCUGGCUCAACCAGAAGAUGAACUUUAAACACUACUCUCAAUGACUUGAUGUUCCCAUCACUACUCCUGUCAUAAAGGGAGGGGACUCAGAUAUUGAGAAUUUUAUGAUAGUGUGAACUGUCUGGUAUGUCAUUUAAGUAAGCCCGUUGCUGAAAUAUUUUCCAUGUUAUUAGAAAGAGCUGAAGAGAGGGAUUGAGAUGGCUUCUUUAUUUUUUGUCUUUUGGGAAUUAAAGGAACCUGGUUCAACAAGGGCCUACACCUAAGUCUCUUGUUGUACCAGAGUACAAUUUAGGACUGCUCCUGAGGAAGGAAUUAGCUAGAAAUCUAGAGAGUAAGGGUAACAGAUUUACAUAGAAUAACAGCCUCAGUAUUUUUGGUUCCUCUCCAGUAAAGAUCACAAAGAAUAUUGCUAAAUCGCUAAAACACCUUUGCAAUAACGUAAGGGCUUACAACUAUAUACCAAUGUAGCUCAGUUACUAAACUGGAGUAAACUAAUUUCUCUUGUGUAGAAAAAUUGGUUGGCUGUGGUUUUAUAGCAGAUCUGCAAUUAUUAAUAGUUAUGCCAAUAAUCGUUUAACAGUGCAUAUGUUAAUAUAUAUGGAAAGACAAUGUGUAUAGACAGAUGUGUAAAAUUGAAAAAUAAACAUAUAACAAGAGAGAAACAUCUAUCGAACAGACAAUAUACAUACACAUCAAACACAACAGCAGUUUUAGUGACCAUAAUAUUUAUUUCUCAUUUUUACAUUGCUUACUUUAGUGACAACUGAAAAUGACAGUUGGCAAUGCAGCUAACAGUUUCAAUAAAAGUAUAAAACAAAA